AGAGGGGCAUGCUUUUUAAGAAAUACAACCCACCUUUCCUGCCAGCAGGCCGGAGCUGGAGACACCUUGUGCAGAGCUAUCCCAGGAGUGGAUUCUCAGCUUGCCCCAGGAGGUCGAGCUCAAUUCUUGCAGUGCUCCAGUGACCUGCUUUGCUGUCCUGCCCAGCUCUUGCGUGAGGUAGGAAUAUCCUCAGCUCCCCCUGUUCAUCUCUGUAGAUGAAGGCUCAAGCUGGGAAAACUGCAAAAUACUAGUCCCUCUCCCUCUGGACAGGCACAGAUUUCCACCUGCUCACCGAGUUGGACUCAGCUGCCUUUGACUGCCAAGGACAUCAGAAGCUGCAUGAGGAAGAGAGUUGACAUCUCUCUGCUGGGGAAGGUGGAAUAACCAGCCCUCGGCCACCUCCUCUGCAGCUGCUCCCCAUCACGUCACACUGCUUGGAGCACUGCACCGAGUGAACAAGCUGAACAGUGCAGAGAACAAUAACCAGUAACAUGCUUCAUUGUUACUACUUCUCAUUAUGACUUCCUUUUUGCCUCUGUAAUCAUAUAGUCAAGUCAAACAUUCAAAAAUAUUUGGCGUAUGCCUGACCACCUCCUUCCACUUCCUCACCGAUUUGUACU